UACGGGGGGGGCAAGCGUUGUUCGGAAUUACUGGGCGUAAAGGGCGCGUAGGCGGCCUGCUAAGUCGGAUGUGAAAUCCCUCGGCUCAACUGGGGACGUGCAUCGGAUACUGGCGACCUUGAGUCCUGGAGAGGGUAGCGGAAUUCCCAGUGUAGAGGUGAAAUUCGUAGAUAUUGGGAGGAACACCGGUGGCGAAGGCGGCUACCUGGACAGUGACUGACGCUGAGGCGCGAAAGCAUGGGUAGCAAACAGG
rnacentral:rRNA from 1 species